rnacentral:lncRNA from 1 species
UUAACAGUGGUCAGAACAAAGGAAGGGGAGCCAAGCAGAUGGAAUACGUUCACUAAUUUUUCUGAAAUGAAUACCCAUGCGUGAGAAGCAAUGAUGGUGUCUUGUGGAAAGCUUGUGCUCGCCGAGGCUGGAAAAUCCUUCAAAGAAAGGCUCUGGUGAUCCUGGGCAAUAAGGAAUUCCCAUGCUGAUGGUGGAUCAAACCAAGACAAGCAGACAGCGGUGGAUGAAUGGGAGAAAUGAGCUGUGAUGAGCACGGAAGACUUCCAAUGUCUGUACAAAUUGUCAGCCUGACCUCUCUCUGCACCUGUCCUAUUUGGAGGAUGACAUUUUCAAAAACAGCCCAUAAAUUCAUGGCUGCAAAAGCCCUCAGAAGCAAAAAUGGAGUGAUAACCACCCGCCUAUUUCUGGACUCGCAAACCAGGUAACUCAUCAUGAGAAGCCACCUGUGUUUGUGUGUGUGCUCAUUCCCAUGUGUACCCAAACUCCUGGUUGAAGCUGCACCUUUGAAAUCACUCUUACAGAAGGCAAUUUAAUUUCAAGAAACUGUACCAGGAGCAGCAGAAGGAAUAAAGGCUGCUUUCCAAGGUUGCUGUGACUCUCU